rnacentral:misc_RNA from 1 species
AAGUCGUAACAAGGUUUCCGUAGGUGAACCUGCGGAAGAAUCAUUAACCAUUACAAACAGUAUAUACUACAGCCCCCGAGGUAAGACAACAAGCCUUCAAAAGGUCUAGAAUCCGCCCCUUCACGCGCACGCGUCUGCCAUCCUUACUUUACAAACACCUUCUAUUCUCCCUCGGCAUACAUCCUGCGCUGCCAUUAGAAUUACAAAACUCUUUUUUACAUCUAGCAUUACCUAUUCCAACAAUAACAAUCGUUACAACUUUCAACAAUAGAUCUCUUGGCUCUG